AUGUUGGCCUUGCAAGACCCUGCUUGCCCUAUGGAGUAAGAGGAAUUACCCAUCUGAGUAGAGGAUUUGUCAUUGUCAAAAGGCUGUGAGGCUUUAAAUCACCCAGACCAUUAAGAAUGCUACCUACACUACCUACCCUUACAUGUGGCUUUGGUUGGCAAGCACAUCUGAGCAACUGUACUGUAUGAAACCAACAACAAUUUGUCCUGAUUCAUGGUUUAGGAGGAACAGCUGAUUAAUCCC
rnacentral:lncRNA from 1 species